rnacentral:rRNA from 16 species
GACUCUCGGCAAUGGAUAUCUCGGCUCUCGCAUCGAUGAAGAACGUAGCGAAAUGCGAUACCUGGUGUGAAUUGCAGAAUCCCGCGAACCAUCGAGUCUUUGAACGCAAGUUGCGCCCGAGGCCACUCGACCGAGGANNN